rnacentral:rRNA from 1 species
GCUCAAUGAAACUUAAAUAGCCGCUUUUGUGCUAAGGUAGCAUAAUAAUUUGUCUUUUAAUUAAAGACUAGAACAAAAGACUUAACAUCUCAACUAAUAUUUUUUAAAAAACUAUUUAAAUUAUUUUAAUUGUAAAAAAACAAUUUUAAAAAAGAAAGACGAUAAGACCCUAUCGAACUUUACUUUAGUUUAACUGGGGAAGUUAAUCAAUUAACACUUUAAUAAUAUUAAAUAUUUAAUUUGACCUAAUACAAUUAAAAAAAUAAUUAAGUUACCGUAGGGAUAACAGCGUAAUAAAAUUUUCUAGAUCUUAUUUAAAAUAAAGAUUGCGACCUCGAUGUUGAUUUAAUAACCUAAUUUACGCAAUAGUUAAUUAAGGAAGUCUGUUCGACUUUUAAAAAAUUACAUGAUUUGAGUUCAGACCGGUGUAAACCAGGUCGGUUUCUAUCUUCUAAAUAAAUUCUUCUAGUACGAAAGGACCUAAGAAAAUAAUAAUAUU